UAAUUAUAUAUUAUAUAUAUAUAUAUAUAUAUUGUAUUUUAAUGUUGAGUCUUGUCAUCUUUCUUAUCUUAUCCGUGACAACGGUGAGACCUAUAGCAACAGUGACAUCAAACGCGAGAUCCUCAGACCUAUGGCGACAGUGACAUCAAAUGCGAGGUCCUCAAUCAGGGCAAAAAUAAGAGGCAGCGGAGGCAGAGGCGGAAGUGGAAACGGCCAGUCUCACCUCUCACCCUCAUGCUCUCGCCCUCGCCCUCGCCCUCACCCGCGCACCCCUACCUUCCUCACCUCCGAUCCAACCGAGGCCACGCCGCAACUCUCUUUUAUUUUCCUCUAAGACUCUCCUCCACCAUCUCCGACGACGACGCCUCUCUCGCCCUUCCCCGCCCUUCUCGUCCUCUCCCUCUCCAUCCUCCUUUGCCGCCUUCGACGACGACGUAUCUUCGCCGAUGCCGACACCGUGGAGGUCGCUACGGCGCUGACACCGUGAAGGUCGCUGCAGCGCUGCAGUCUCGGAGGAGGGGUUCUUAGCGGCGUUGUUGCCGGCGCUGGCAGAGACGGGUGACAAAAAAAAAAUAUAGAAAAAGCAAGAAAAAAAAA